rnacentral:rRNA from 1 species
UACGGAGGGUGCAAGCGUUAUCCGGAUUCACUGGGUUUAAAGGGUGCGUAGGCGGAACUGUAAGUCCGUGGUGAAAUCUCCGAGCUUAACUCGGAAACUGCCGUGGGUACUGUGGUUCUUGAAUGUUGUGGAGGUUUGCGGAAUAUGUCAUGUAGCGGUGAAAUGCUUAGAUAUGACAUAGAACACCGAUUGCGAAGGCAGCAGGCUACACAAAUAUUGACGCUGAGGCACGAAAGCGUGGGGAUCAAAC